rnacentral:misc_RNA from 1 species
AAAACAAGAAGAUAUUGUGAGCUACUUGGGUCAAAUAGAAACUCUUAAAGACGAAUUCAACUCUCUCAUGCCACUUACAAUCCCUAAAACAAUGCAAAAAUUUUCCUUGGUCUUUGCUCUAAUAGGAUUGUGAUAAGAUCUUAAUUUAGUUCGAAAUCGAAUUCUGACUACUCCAAUUAUCCCCACUUUUGAGGAUGAUGUUUCUACCAGGCUCUUAUGCAUAUCCUUGACUAACAUCACUAAGGUAAUUUCUAAUGAAUCAAUUGUGUUGCAAGUUCAAUCUAAUAAUUAUCAAAAUCAAAUUGAGUAUUAGAAAGGGAAAUG